rnacentral:tRNA from 1 species
GGGAGUGUGGCUCAGUGGUAGAGCACUUGCAUUAGCAUGUGUGAGGCACUGGGUUCAAUUCUCAGCACUACAU